AAUGCAUGCAAGUCGAACGAGAACUGGUUCAUUCGUAAGAAUGUUCCAGGGACAGUGGCGAACGGGUGCGUAACACGUGAGAAACCUGCCCUGGAGAUCGGGAUAGCCCGAGGAAACUCGGAUUAAUACCGGAUACCUUCACCGAGUCGCAUGGCUCUAUGAAGAAAUGGUCCGCCGCUCCAGGAUGGUCUCGCGGCCUAUCAGCUUGUUGGUGAGGUAACGGCUCACCAAGGCAGCGACGGGUAGCUGGUCUGAGAGGACGAUCAGCCACACUGGGACUGAGACACGGCCCAGACUCCUACGGGAGGCAGCAGCAGGGAAUAUUGCACAAUGGGCGAAAGCCUGAUGCAGCGACACCGCGUGCGGGAUGAAGGCCUUCGGGUUGUAAACCGCUUUCAGGAGGGACGAAAAUGACGGUACCUCCAGAAGAAGGCCCGGCCAACUAUGUGCCAGCAGCCGCGGUAAUACAUAGGGGGCAAACGUUGUCCGGAUUUAUUGGGCGUAAAGGGCUCGUAGGCGGCUUGGAAAGUCAAUCGUGAAAACCCGGGGCUCAACCCGGAACGCCGGUCGAAACUUCCAUAGCUAGGGUCCGGUAAAGGUGAGUGGAAUUCUAGGUGUAGCGGUGAAAUGCGCAGAUAUCUAGAGGGACACCAGUAGCGAAGGCGCUUCACUGGGCCGGUACCGACGCUGAGGAGCGAAA
rnacentral:rRNA from 1 species